UACGUAGGGGGCAAGCGUUGUCCGGAUUUAUUGGGCGUAAAGAGCGUGUAGGCGGCUUGGUAGGUCCGCUGUGAAAACUCGAGGCUCAACCUCGAGAUGUCGGCGGAAACCACUUGGCUAGAGUCCGGAAGAGGAGAGUGGAAUUCCCGGUGUAGCGGUGAAAUGCGUAGAGAUCCGGAGGAACACCAGAGGCGAAGGCGGCCGGCUGGACCUGACCUGACGCUGAGGCACGAAGGCGUGGGGAGCGAACGGG
rnacentral:rRNA from 1 species